UUAUAUUCUAAUGAUAGAAAGAUUUAAAUGAAGUAAGUUGUGCAAAAAGAGAACAAAAGAUAAUGAGAAAGUGUUCAUGGAAUCCAUUGUCCAUUUGGAAAUCUGAAUGGUUCAGCAUCACGACUGAUGGCGACGAAGAACGAGAAGAGAUCGGUGGGACGUUACUGCCGGAGAGAGGGAAUUUAAUGAGGGAACUACUUCUUGCUGAGUAAUCCAGUGACGCGACAAUGGGAGGCUAUAAAAGACGACCGCCAGGCUUUCUUGCGCAGACGGCAGCGGAAUGGAGAGCGGUAGGGGUCGUGUUGAAUGUUGUGCGGAGGGAAUCGCAAGGUGGGCGGGCAGGGGGGCAGGGAGAGAGGGUGGAAAGUCAGUCAAAGUGCAUCAGAGCGCUCCCGCAGCCACAUCAGUGAGGAGAUUUGGUGAAUCUUGACAAUGGUGGAAGCGGAGUGGGGGGGAGGGGAGGGAAGCGCUGGGCCUCCUCAUAAACAACCGAGGCAUCAGAUGGAAAUGAUAGGCAGGCUGCGGUCGCCAGGGCUGGUCUGCCUUCGUAAGGUGGGGGAUUAAGGGUCGGAUUCAGUGCGCCGUCGCCGUUUAAACUGAGCAGGCGCGGCCGCCAUGUUGUUUACUGGGGAGUUUUGGUCGCCAUUUUGCGGGUGGGGUGGCGCUGAUGGAGGUGGUGGAGAGCUCUCGGCUGUUAAAUGAGCCGGUUGCUGGCUUUGGCCUGAAGUAGGGUGGAGGGGAUUCUGCGUAUAUGUAGAGUUGGCGCAGGUGUUGAAGCCAGUAACACUGGGGCUGGGCUAAAGGGUGGGUGACGCAGUUUAUCCCGUUAGCGGGACGGUGGAGUUGGAGGGGUGGGUGAUCCUCGUUA